rnacentral:rRNA from 1 species
AGUGAACGCUGGCGGUAGGCCUAACACAUACAAGUCGAACGGCAGCACAGUAAGAGCUUGCUCUUACGGGUGGCGAGUGGCGGACGGGUGAGGAAUACAUCGGAAUCUACUUUUUCGUGGGGGAUAACGUAGGGAAACUUACGCUACUACCGCAUACGACCUACGGGUGAAAGCAGGGGAUCUUCGGACCUUGCGCGUUAGAAUGAGCCGAUGUCGGAUUAGCUAGUUGGCGGGGUAAAGGCCCACCAAGGCGACGAUCCGUAGCUGGUCUGAGAGGAUGAUCGGCCACACUGGAACUGAGACACGGUCCAGACUCCUACGGGAGGCAGCAGUGGGGAAUAUUGGACAAUGGGCGCAAGCCUGAUCCAGCUAUACCGCGUGAGUGAAGAAGGCCUUCGGGUUGUAAAGCCCUUUUGUUGGGAAAGAAAAGCAGCAGGUUAAUACCCCGCUGUUCUGACGGUACCCAAAGAAUAAGCACCGGCUAACUUCGUG